AUCCAUCUGACGAGUCCCGAACAAUACGAAACACACGUCCUGGAU
rnacentral:hammerhead_ribozyme from 1 species